GCAGCUCCGGACAGGCCCCUGUGCAAUGACUGAACUCCUCACAGUAGAUGCUGCAUCUCUCCCGAAUACGUCUCUCUCGUUUUGAGGUCUCAGAAAGAUAUGGACAAGCCUGUAUCAUGCCCCCAAACCACUGAGCGGCUGCUUGUUCCCUGGAUGGAUUUCACACCUUGUACCCUGUUGAGUACCCAUAGAAGUGUUAUUCUUAUUAAAAUUAAUCAUCAUCUGUU